GCUCCCAUCGUCUAUCGGCUAGGACGCUGGCCUCUCACGCCGGAAAGCGGGGUUCGAUUCCCCGUGGGAGCGCCA
rnacentral:tRNA from 1 species